UACGUAGGGGGCUAGCGUUGUCCGGAAUCAUUGGGCGUAAAGAGCGUGUAGGCGGCCCGGUAAGUCCGCUGUAAAAGUCAAAGGCUCAACCUUUGAAUGUCAGUGGAUACUGCCGGGCUAGAGUCCGGAAGAGGCGAGUGGAACUCCUGGUGUAGCGGUGAAAUGCGCAGAUAUCAGGAAGAACACCCGUGGCGAAAGCGGCGCGCUGGACCACUACUGACGCUGAGGAACGAAAGCUAGGGGAGCAAACAGG
rnacentral:rRNA from 1 species